GGAGUUAGCCGGUGCUUCUUCUGCGAGUAACGUCACAGAUGUAAGGUAUUAACUUACACCCUUUCCUCCUCGCUGAAAGUGCUUUACAACCCGAAGGCCUUCUUCACACACGCGGCAUGGCUGCAUCAGGGUUUCCCCCAUUGUGCAAUAUUCCCCACUGCUGCCUCCCGUAGGAGUCUGGGCCGUGUCUCAGUCCCAGUGUGGCUGAUCAUCCUCUCAGACCAGCUAGGGAUCGUCGCCUAGGUGAGCCUUUACCUCACCUACUAGCUAAUCCCACCUGGGCUUAUCCAUCAGCGCAAGGCCCGAAGGUCCCCUGCUUUCCCCCGUAGGGCGUAUGCGGUAUUAGCAGUCGUUUCCAACUGUUAUCCCCCACAAAUGGGCAAAUUCCCAGGCAUUACUCACCCGUCCGCCGCUCGUCAUCUUCAAAGGCAAGCUUUUGAAAUGUUACCGCUCGACUUGCAUGUGUUAGGCCUGCCGCCAGCGUUCAAUCUGAGCCAGAAUCGAACCCUGA
rnacentral:rRNA from 1 species